rnacentral:rRNA from 1 species
UAGUGGCGAACGGGUGAGUAUCACGUGAGGAACCUGCCCCGGAGACCGGAAUAGCCCAGGGAAACCUGGAUUAAUACCGGAUAUCCUCUGACGGUCGCAUGACCGAUCGAGGAAAUGGUCCGCUGCUCCGGGAUGGCCUCGCGCCCUAUCAGCUUGUUGGUGAGGUAACGGCUCACCAAGGCAGCGACGGGUAGCUGGUCUGAGAGGACGAUCAGCCACACUGGGACUGAGACACGGCCCAGACUCCUACGGGAGGCAGCAGCAGGGAAUUUUGCACAAUGGGCGCAAGCCUGAUGCAGCGACGCCGCGUGGGGGAUGACGGCCCUCGGGUUGUAAACCCCUUUCAGGAGGGACGAAGCGAAAGUGACGGUACCUCCAGAAGAAGCCCCGGCCAACUACGUGCCAGCAGCCGCGGUAAUACGUAGGGGGCGAACGUUGUCCGGAUUUAUUGGGCGUAAAGAGCUCGUGGGCGGCUCAGCAAGUCGGCCGUGAAAACCCGGGGCUCAACCCCGGGACGCCGGUCGAAACUGCUGUGGCUAGGGUCCGGUAGAGGAGAGUGGAAUUCCCGGUGUAGCGGUGAAAUGCGCAGAUAUCGGGAGGAACACCAGUAGCGAAGGCGGCUCUCUGGGCCGGUACCGACGCUGAGGAGCGAAAGCUAGGGGAGCAAACAGGAUUAGAUACCCUGGUAGUCCUAGCCGUAAACGUUGGGCACUAGGUGUGGCGGACUCAUUGACGUCUG